rnacentral:rRNA from 1 species
UCCUAUCGUAGGGGAGGCAGCGGUAAGGAAUAUAGGGCAAGGGGCGGAAGCCUGAACCAGCCAUGCCGCGUGCAGGAAUAUUGCCCUAUGGGUUGUAAACUGCUUGGGUGCAGGAAUAGACCUUUAUACGGUAGAGAGUGACGUACCUGCAGAAUAGAUCC